rnacentral:snoRNA from 1 species
GUACAGUGAUGUCCUAACAAAUGUCUGACCUGAACUUCAAUGUGGACAAAAUCCAUUACUGAGUAA